rnacentral:pre_miRNA from 1 species
AACUUACUCCCUUCGUCCCAAAAUUUUUGUCUUAAAUUUAUCUAAAUACGGAUGUAUCAAGUCACAUUUUAGUAUUAGAUACAUCCGUAUCUAGACAAAUCUAAGACAAGAAUUUUGAGACGGAGGGAGUACAAC